rfam:Streptomycetaceae bacterium MP113-05 genomic scaffold scaffold00002, whole genome shotgun sequence.
CGGAAGAGCCUUGUCAUCGUGCGUGCUGGAAGCCUCAAGAACUCCCAUCAUCGCAGUUCACAAGGCUCUUCCUUGUUCCCGGAGAAGUUGUCCACAGGCGUCACUCGGUGAAUCCGG